rnacentral:rRNA from 1 species
GAUUAACGCUAGCGGCAGGCCUAAUACAUGCAAGUCGAACGGGAUUCAAAGUAGCAAUGUUUUGAUGAGAGUGGCGCACGGGUGAGUAACACGUAUGCAAUUUACCUUUAACUGGGGGAUAGCCCUCCGAAAGGAGGAUUAAUACCGCAUAAUAUAUUGAAAUGGCAUCAUUUUAAUAUUAAAACCUACGGGGGUUAAAGAUGAGCAUGCAUCCGAUUAGCUAGUUGGUGUGGUAACGGCUCACCAAGGCAACGAUCGGUAGGGGGUCUGAGAGGGUGAUCCCCCACACUGGUACUGAGACACGGACCAGACUCCUACGGGAGGCAGCAGUAAGGAAUAUUGGACAAUGGAGGCAACUCUGAUCCAGCCAUGCCGCGUGAAGGAUUAAGGCCCUAUGGGUUGUAAACUUCUUUUAGACGGGACAAAACCCCUUUACGUGUAAAGGGUUGAUGGUACUGUCAGAAUAAGCAUCGGCUAACUUCGUGCCAGCAGCCGCGGUAAU